ACAUUAAAAAAAAUCUGGUGCUUGCAAUUAGAAUGAUACAGAGAUGAUUAGCAUGGUUCCCUCCAUAAGGAUGACACGCAAAUUUGUGAAGCAUUCCGUAUUUAA
rnacentral:snRNA from 1 species